rnacentral:rRNA from 1 species
AUUGAACGCUGGCGGCAGGCCUAACACAUGCAAGUCGAGCGGAUGAAGGGAGCUUGCUCCUGGAUUCAGCGGCGGACGGGUGAGUAAUGCCUAGGAAUCUGCCUGGUAGUGGGGGAUAACGUCCGGAAACGGGCGCUAAUACCGCAUACGUCCUGAGGGAGAAAGUGGGGGAUCUUCGGACCUCACGCUAUCAGAUGAGCCUAGGUCGGAUUAGCUAGUUGGUGGGGUAAAGGCCUACCAAGGCGACGAUCCGUAACUGGUCUGAGAGGAUGAACAGUCACACUGGAACUGAGACACGGUCCAGACUCCUACGGGAGGCAGCAGUGGGGAAUAUUGGACGAUGGGCGAAAGCCUGAUCCAGCCAUGCCGCGUGUGUGAAGAAGGUCUUCGGAUUGUAAAGCACUUUAAGUUGGGAGGAAGGGCAGUAAGUUAAUACCUUGCUGUUUUGACGUUACCAACAGAAUAAGCACCGGCUAACUUCGUG